GGCUCUUUGCUUACACAAAUAUAAAGAGUCGAGCCUGCCCAGUGAAUUUUUAAACGGCCGCGGUACUCUGACCGUGCAAAGGUAGCAUAAUCAUUUGCCUUAUAAUUGAAGGCUAGUAUGAAUGGUUUGACGAGAGCAGCACUGUCUCCUUUUUAUUUUCAAGAACUUAACUUUUAGGUGAAGAGGCCUAAAUUUUAUUGAAGGACAAGAAGACCCUAUCGAGCUUAAAAGACAUUAUAGAAGUUUAUAUAUUUUUAAAUAAAUUUUCUAUCAAGCUUUUUAGUUGGGGCGACUAAGGAACAAAAAAAGCUUCUUGCUGACAAUAAGCAGUCAUGUUUAGAUCCGAUAAUAAUCGAUCAAAGAAAUUAGUUACCGUAGGGAUAACAGCAUAAUCUCUCUUGAGAGACCUAAUCGAAAGAGGGGGUUGUGACCUCGAUGUUGGACUAGAAUAUCCUAAAGAUGCAGAAGUCUUUAAGGGUCGGUCUGUUCUACCGUUAAAAUUCU
rnacentral:rRNA from 1 species